GACGAGCGCUGGCGGCGUGCUUAACACAUGCAAGUCGAACGGGAAGGCCCUGCUUUUGUGGGGUGCUCGAGUGGCGAACGGGUGAGUAACACGUGAGUAACCUGCCCUUGACUUUGGGAUAACUUCAGGAAACUGGGGCUAAUACCGGAUAGGAGCUCCUGCUGCAUGGUGGGGGUUGGAAAGUUUCGGCGGUUGGGGAUGGACUCGCGGCUUAUCAGCUUGUUGGUGGGGUAGUGGCUUACCAAGGCUUUGACGGGUAGCCGGCCUGAGAGGGUGACCGGCCACAUUGGGACUGAGAUACGGCCCAGACUCCUACGGGAGGCAGCAGUGGGGAAUAUUGCACAAUGGGCGGAAGCCUGAUGCAGCAACGCCGCGUGCGGGAUGACGGCCUUCGGGUUGUAAACCGCUUUCGCCUGUGACGAAGCGUGAGUGACGGUAAUGGGUAAAGAAGCACCGGCUAACUACGUG
rnacentral:rRNA from 1 species